GACGAACGCUGGCGGCGUGCUUAACACAUGCAAGUCGAACGGAAAGGCCCUGCUUUUGUGGGGUGCUCGAGUGGCGAACGGGUGAGUAACACGUGAGUAACCUGCUCUUGACUUUGGGAUAACUUCAGGAAACUGGGGCUAAUACCGGAUAGGAGCUCCUGCUGCAUGGUGGGGGUUGGAAAGUUUCGGCGGUUGGGGAUGGACUCGCGGCUUAUCAGCUUGUUGGUGGGGUAGUGGCUUACCAAGGCUUUGACGGGUAGCCGGCCUGAGAGGGUGACCGGCCACAUUGGGACUGAGAGACGGCCCAGACUCCUACGGGAGGCAGCAGUGGGGAAUAUUGCACAAUGGGCGGAAGCCUGAUGCAGCAACGCCGCGUGCGGGAUGACGGCCUUCGGGUUGUAAACCGCUUUAGCCUGUGACGAAGCGUGAGUGACGGUAAUGGGUAAAGAAGCACCGGCUAACUACGUG
rnacentral:rRNA from 1 species